UAAUGGAGAGCUUGGAGAGUGCAACAAAAAGGGAAGCCAAAAUAGUUGCAAAAUAUCUGGAAGGUGCCAUAACGUGUGAUGCUCGUCACAUGACAAAUCCAAGGUCUGAUGGACUAAAGUUGGGGUUUCUAAUGAAGAGCUGAUGAAUCCUGCUUUGUACGGGGGGACCUAUAUCGAUGCUCAUGCCACUUAGCAGGUGACUUGGCUGAGGUUAAUGCAAUCAAACAAGUUUGUAUGGACACAUCAUAAUUGAAAAUGAAUGCCACAAAGUCAAUGAUUGGUGUCUUGAGCUUCUGGUGGUUUGUAAGCUAGGCAAUAACAACUGGGUGGAUGCAUCGAACUAUUAAUCAAGAUAACUUGGCGGAUGAUGUUACAAUUGACACAGUCCCUAACGUCAAGAAGCAGCCUGAAGUUAAUGUUGGUGUGUACUAUAUCUAUUUGUGCAAAUUGUGGUAACAAUGUAAAAACUAAUGUUUCUGAUUUUUAGUGUACUUUCUGCAGCUUUCUCAAAUUCAUUUGGGUUUGGUGGACACAAUUCAGCUAUCUCCAACUAUGUCCAUUCUUUUAUAUAUCCAAUGUUACUUUUAUCCUUUCACUUUUUUUUUUAUCAAUUUUUGUUUUUUCUGGCUCUGUUUCUAUGCUCCUUGGGUCGAGAUUGGAGAAGUCUUCCUCAAGGGCUGCCAAUUUUCUUGAUUGCUUUAAUGAUGUGCCUUUAUGGAUAAAGGAAUCUAGGAUUAUAGCCCGUCUCCGUGCAAUGCACGGACGAGCAGUUCUGUAAUUUAUCAUAUUUAUUCAAUCAAUUUAUUUAAUUGCAUCUAA